UGAAUUCGUAGUCAUAUGCUUGUCUCAAAGAUUAAGCCAUGCAUGUCUAAGUAUAAGCAAUCUAUACAGUGAAACUGCGAAUGGCUCAUUAAAUCAGUUAUCGUUUAUUUGAUGAUACCUUUACUACUUGGAUAACCGUGGUAAUUCUAGAGCUAAUACAUGCAUAACAAGCCCCGACCCUUCGGAAGGGGUGUAUUUAUUAGAUAAAAAACCAAUGCCUUCGGGCUCUUUGGUGAUUCAUAGUAACUUCACGAAUCGCAUAGCCUUGUGCUGGCGAUGGUUCAUUCAAAUUUCUGCCCUAUCAACUUUCGAUGGUAGGAUAUAGGCCUACCAUGGUUUCAACGGGUAACGGGGAAUUAGGGUUCUAUUCCGGAGAGGGAGCCUGAGAAACGGCUACCACAUCCAAGGAAGGCAGCAGGCGCGCAAAUUACCCAAUCCCGACACGGGGAGGUAGUGACAAUAAAUACUGAUACAGGGGGCUUUUGCUUCGUGUAAUUGGAAUGAGUACAAUUUAAAUCUCUUAACGAGGAACAAUUGGAGGGCAAGUCUGGUGCCAGCAGCCGCGGUAAUUCCAGCUCCAAUAGCGUAUAUUAAAGUUGUUGCAGUUAAAAAGCUCGUAGUUGAACCUUGGGCCUGGCCGGCCGGUCUGCCUCACCGCAUGCACUGGUUUGGUUGGGCCUUUCCUUCUGGGGAGCCGCAUGCCCUUUACUGGGUGUGUUGGGGAACCAGGACUUUUACUUUGAAAAAAUUAGAGUGUUUAAAGCAGGCAUUGGCUCGAAUACAUUAGCAUGGAAUAAUAGAAUAGGACGCGUGGUUCUAUUUUGUUGGUUUCUAGGACCACCGUAAUGAUUAAUAGGGAUAGUCGGGGGCAUCAGUAUUCAAUCGUCAGAGGUGAAAUUCUUGGAUCGAUUGAAGACUAACUACUGCGAAAGCAUUUGCCAAGGAUGUUUUCAUUAAUCAGGGAACGAAAGUUAGGGGAUCGAAGACGAUCAGAUACCGUCGUAGUCUUAACCAUAAACUAUGCCCGACUAGGGAUUGGGCGAUGUUCAUCAAUGACUUCGCUUCAGCACCUUACGAGAAAUCAAAAGUCUU
rnacentral:rRNA from 1 species